rnacentral:snRNA from 1 species
GUGCUCGCUUUGGCAGCACAUAUACUAAAAUUGGAAUGCUACAGAGAAGAUUAGUAUAGCCCCUGUGCAAGAAUGGCAGGCAAAUUCAUGAAAUGUCCCAUAUUUUU